rnacentral:rRNA from 1 species
AGCGAACGCUGGCGGCGGGCCUAACACAUGCAAGUCGAACGGAAGCACAGUAAGAGCUUGCUCUUCCGGGUGGCGGGUGGCGGGCGGGUGAGGUAUAUAUCGGAAUCUACUUUUUCGUGGGGGUUCACGUAGGAAAACUUACGAUAAUAUAGCAUACGAUCUAACGUUGAAAGCAGUGGAUCUUCGGAGCUUGUGCGGUUGUAUUAGCCGAUGCCGGAUUUGCUAGUUGGCGGGGUAAAGGCCUACCAAGGCAACGAUACGUAGCCGGUCUGAGUGGAUGAUCGGCCACACUGGAACUGAGACACGGUCCAGACUCCUACGGGAGGCAGCAGUAGGGAAUGUUAGGCAAUGGGCGGAAGCCUGACGCAGCGAGGCCGCGUGAGUGAUGAAGGCCUUCGGAUCGUAAAGCCCUGUUAUUGGGGAAGAACAGCUGUGGAUGAAAACCUGGCUGUAUUGACGGUACCUAAUGAAGAAGCACCGGCUAACUACGUG